GCUUCCCUGGCUCAGUUGGUUAGAGCGCCAGUCUCAUACGAAGUGUGUGAACGACAUUGUGUCGUGUAAUCUGGAGGUCAUGAGUUCGACCCUCAUGGGGAGCA